rnacentral:misc_RNA from 1 species
UCAAACUUGGUCAUUUAGAGGAAGUAAAAGUCGUAACAAGGUUUCCGUAGGUGAACCUGCGGAAGGAUCAUUAAUAAAUCAUGAAACUCCAAGGAUGCCUUCUCCCAACAGCUUUGGCUGGCUUGCAGUUGGUCUCCUUGGUGCUCAUCUUUUACAUCCCAUUCUGUGAACAUGACUUCUGUUGCUUCCCGUGGAUGCGGGCCAGCAAGGGGUAACUCCCUGAUGGUCACCCUGCGGGAAGGGAAUCAUAAACUCUGGUUUCUGUAGUAUUAGUCUGAGUGAUAAUCACAAUCAAACAAGUUAAAACUUUCAACAACGGAUCUCUUGGUUCUCGCAUCGAUGAAGAACGCAGC